AAGAUUGCUUUUAUAGAUUUAAAAUUUGAUUAUGGUUUUUGAAAAGUUAAAACGGUAUUAUUUAAGUUUAAUUUAUUGUGUGGGCAAUGUGUUAUUACCCCGGCGGUUUGUUAUUUGUAAAAUACUUGUUCCAGAAUAAUCGGCUAGGCUUGUAAAAAUUUAGACUUUAUUUUGUUUUAAUUAUAAUUUUGUUAAUGGUGUUUUAUUAAUUAUGGGUUAAAUUUUAAUUAGUUAAUUAAGAAUAAUUAUAAUUUUAAGAUUUGGUAAUCGAAUUAGAUUAGUACCUAAUUAGACAAAAAUAAAAAUGGCAGUAGUAAAGUUGUAUUUAAACUGAAAGAAUAUUGGCAGAUUUUCUAAAUUAUCUUUGGAGGUUGAGUAAUAAUUGAGAACCCUCAUUAACUACUUUAAGUUUAGUCUCAUGUAUGAUCGUUUAUUUUAUGCUUAAGGCAUAUAAUAAGAAAAUUUUUAUUUGUAAAAAUAGAUAUAUAUUUGGUUUAUGUAAGAGUAAAAUUUGACCUACAAUAGUUUGUUUUUGUGGAUUCAUAAUGUAGUUUUGUGAUGAAAAUGUAAAAGACAGUAAAGAAAUCUUAAUGUUUUUUUGAAGAUUAUUUAGAUGUGGUACAAAUCAUCCAUCAAUUGCCCAAAGGGGAGUAAGUUGUAGUAAAGUAGAUUUAGGGGAACCUGAAUCUAGUAAUUAAACU
rnacentral:ncRNA from 1 species